GUGGGGAAUUUUGGACAAUGGGGGCAACCCUGAUCCAGCCAUGCCGCGUGCGGGAAGAAGGCCUUCGGGUUGUAAACCGCUUUUGUCAGGGAAGAAAUCCUUUGGGUUAAUACCUCGGAGGGAUGACGGUACCUGAAGAAUAAGCACCGGCUAACUACGUGCCAGCAGCCGCGGUAAUACGUAGGGUGCGAGCGUUAAUCGGAAUUACUGGGCGUAAAGCGUGCGCAGGCGGUUUGGUAAGAUCGAUGUGCAAUCCCCGGGCUCAACCUGGGAACUGCCUUGGGGACUGCAAGGCUGGAGUGCGGCAGAGGGGGAUGGAAUUCCGCGUGUAGCAGUGAAAUGCGUAGAUAUGCGGAGGAACACCGAUGGCGAAGGCAAUCCCCUGGGCCUGCACUGACGCUCAUGCACGAAAGCGUGGGGAGCAAACAGGAUUAGAAACCCCAGUAGUCC
rnacentral:rRNA from 1 species